AGCAGCCGCGGUAAUUCCAGCUCCAAUAGCGUAUAUUUAAGUUGUUGCAGUUAAAAAGCUCGUAGUUGAAUUUCGGGAUUGGGAUAUAUCGGUCGUGCCUUUAGGGGCAUGAAUCAGUGUGUGGCCAAUUCUCACCUUCUGGUGAAUUGGGAUGCUCUCGGGUGUUUCAAUGAACUAGGACUUUUACUUUGAAAAAAUUAGAGUGUUUAAAGCGGGCAUUUUUGCUUGAAUACGUUAGCAUGGAAUAAUAAAAUAGGACGAUGGUUCUAUUUUGUUGGUUUUAGGACCACGUAAUGAUUAAUAGGAAUAGUUGGGGGCAUUAGUAUUCAAUUGUCAGAGGUGAAAUUCUUGGAUUUAUUGAGGACUAACUACUGCGAAAGCAUUUGCCAAGGAUGUUUUCAUUAAUCAAGAACGAAAGUUAGGGGAUCAAAGACGAUUUAUGUACGUCGUAGUCCUAACCAUAAACUAUGCCAACUAGGAAUCAGACAAAGUUAAUUUUUUAACGACUUGUUUGGUACCUUACG
rnacentral:rRNA from 1 species